rnacentral:piRNA from 1 species
UGACACAGGCCUUUUACAAGCCAUUUUUCAA